UAGGCCCUCCUGCAAUAUAUAAGAACGUUUAAGCAGAGCAGAGCAGUGAAGAAUCAUGGCUUCCUCCUCCACACUCUCCCUCUGUUCUUCUCUCGCGUCUCGAUGCAGACUCUCUCACAACCCAAAAGCCCACCAUCCCCACCUUUCGCCCUCCAUCUCCUUCUCUCCCUCCAAGGCCAGCGUCGCUCCUCUCCCCUCCCUCAAACUAGCUCCCUCUAAGCCCUCCUCGUGCUCAUUUACCGCCAAGUCCUCCGAAUCCGAUGCUCCCGUGAUCGAAUUCGCCCCCGAACCCGCCGAGCCCGAGCCGGCCCCGGAGGUUCCGAGCCCCAGUGACGCGCCCAAGCGUGAGGAGGUGUUCGCCGUGGUCAUGAUUGGGUCUCGCCAGUACAUCGUGUUCCCUGGGCGCUAUAUUUACACGCAGAGGCUUAAAGGUGCGAAUGCGAACGAUAAGAUAAUUUUGAAUAAGGUAUUGCUUGUGGGGACCAAAACAAGUACCUAUAUUGGAAAGCCAGUGGUGCCUAAUGCUGCAGUGCAUGCUGUUGUUGAAGAGCAGGGUCUAGAUCCCAAAGUGAUUGUCUUCAAGUACAAGAAGAAAAAGAAGUACAGAAGAAAUAUUGGUCAUCGGCAGCCAAACACCAGGAUCAGGAUAAUGGGCAUCACUGGCUAUCAAGACUCUCCUGCAGUCACCCUUGAUUCAUGAGCUCCUGCCCAAGGUGUCUCAAGCCAACUUUAGGAAGUCGUAAUUCUUGUGCUCCGUGCAAUGGAACUUAAAGGACUCAACCUCUGAGAGACCCAACCAAUUUAUGCAUCCCAAUGGCUUAUGGUCGAGCCUUCUUAGCUCUUUAAACCCUUUGCCACUUUCUGUUUCCGACGGUGGCAACAGUAAGAACUAUUCAUUCUGGAGACGUUUGAGGGUGGGAUGAUACUGCCGAGAGUGGCCUGUUAUAAAAUUGAUUCGGGGAUGCAGAUUACUCGAAUUUCUUUCUUUCGUUCGAGAAAAAUCCAAGAAAGCUACACAAUGCUUUACUUUCUGUACUUAAGAUGUGCUGUUAGUUGUGUACUCGAACCUUCUUGAUCCUCCUCCCUUCCCUGUGAAACGUGAGUUUCCACAGCUCUGCCCGAGACUGGAUAAAUUCAAUAACAGCCUUCUGCACUUAGUCACAUUGUUGA